CCUACGGGUGGCAGCAGUGAGGAAUAUUGGUCAAUGGACGAGAGUCUGAACCAGCCACGUAGCGUGAAGGAUGACUGCCCUAUGGGUUGUAAACUUCUUUUAUAUGGGAAUAACAUGUUCCAGUUGAGGGAUUGUGUAUGUACCAUAUGAAUAAGUAUCGGCUAACUCCGUGCUAGCAGCGGCGGUAAUACGGAGGAUUCGAGCGUUAUCCGGAUUUAUUGGGUGUAAAGGGAGCGUAGGUGGAUUGUUAAGUCAGUUGUGAAAGUUUGCGGCUGAACCGUAAAAUUGCAGUUGAAACUGGCAGUCUUGAGUACAGUAGAGGAGGGCGGAAUUCGUGGUGUAGCGGUGAAAUGCGUAGAUAUCACGAAGAACUCCGAUUGCGAAGGCAGCUCUCUGGACUGUAACUGACACUGAGGCUCGAAAGUGUGGGUAUCGAACAGGAUUAGAUACCCCAGUAGUC
rnacentral:rRNA from 1 species